GACGAACGCUGGCGGCGUGCUUAACACAUGCAAGUCGAACGGUAAGGCCCUUCGGGGUACACGAGUGGCGAACGGGUGAGUAACACGUGGGUGAUCUGCCCUGCACUUCGGGAUAAGCCUGGGAAACUGGGUCUAAUACCGGAUAGGACUCCGGACUGCAUGGUCUGGGGUGGAAAGCUUUUGCGGUGUGGGAUGGGCCCGCGGCCUAUCGGCGUGGUGGGGGGGUGAUGGCCUACCAAGGCGACGACGGGUAGCCGGCCUGAGAGGGUGACCGGCCACACUGGGACUGAGAUACGGCCCAGACUCCUACGGGAGGCAGGAGUGGGGAAUAUUGCACAAUGGGCGCAAGCCUGAUGCAGCGACGCCGCGUGAGGGAUGACGGCCUUCGGGUUGUAAACCUCUUUCAGCAUCGACGAAGCGAAAGUGACGGUAGGUGCAGAAGAAGGACCGGCCAACUACGUGCCAGCAGCCGCUGUAA
rnacentral:rRNA from 1 species